AAAGCAGAUCGUCUUAUCGCUGGCAAUUGUCAGAGGAAAGUCCGGGCACCAUAGAGCAGAAUAGCGGGUAACGCCCGUCCGCCGUGAGGUGAGGACCAGUGCAACAGAAAGUAUGUACAGUUAGGCUGUAGUGAAACCAGGUAAACUCUAUUCGGUGAAAUGCCAUGUAAACCAACAUUAAGUGCUGCUCGCGCAAGUUGGAGGGUAGGCAGAUGGAACGUCUCAGUAAUGAUUCGUCUAGAUAAAUGAUAAGAACCUUUCUUUUACGGAAUACGUACAGAACCCGGCUUACAGGUCUGCUUUUUUA
rnacentral:RNase_P_RNA from 1 species